GAGGCGGAACGGGCCCCUCUGGCGUUCUCGCGGUCUGGCGUCCCCCUUCCUUGCGCCGGAUCGUGCGACGCGAUGUCGGACCGCAAGG
rnacentral:ncRNA from 1 species